UAUGUGCCUGUGAUGGUUCUAAAUAUACUUUGAGAUUUGUUUCAAUGACGUAAAUUUCAAGCUGAGGCACUGU